AGUGAACGCUGGCGGUAGGCCUAACACAUGCAAGUCGAACGGCAGCACAGUAAGAGCUUGCUCUUACGGGUGGCGAGUGGCGGACGGGUGAGGAAUACAUCGGGAUCUACUUUUUCGUGGGGGAUAACGUAGGGAAACUUACGCUAAUACCGCAUACGGCCUACGGGUGAAAGCAGGGGAUCUUCGGACCUUGCGCGAUUGAAUGAGCCGAUGUCGGAUUAGCUAGUUGGCGGGGUAAAGGCCCACCAAGGCGACGAUCCGUAGCUGGUCUGAGAGGAUGAUCAGCCACACUGGAACUGAGACACGGUCCAGACUCCUACGGGAGGCAGCAGUGGGGAAUAUUGGACAAUGGGCGCAAGCCUGAUCCAGCCAUACCGCGUGGGUGAAGAAGGCCUUCGGGUUGUAAAGCCCUUUUGUUGGGAAAGAAAAGCAGCAGGUUAAUACCCCGCUGUUCUGACGGUACCCAAAGAAUAAGCACCGGCUAACUUCGUG
rnacentral:rRNA from 1 species